GUGCUUGCUUUGGCAGUACCUAUACUUAAAUUGGAAUGAUACACAGAAGAUUGGCCGGGCCUCUGUGCAANAAAACUAUGCUUCUAAAAUACAUUUGUAAUUAUUAA
rnacentral:snRNA from 1 species